GGGGUGCUCGAGUGGCGAACGGGUGAGUAACACGUGAGUAACCUGCCCUUGACUUUGGGAUAACUUCAGGAAACUGGGGCUAAUACCGGAUAGGAGCUCCUGCUGCAUGGUGGGGGUUGGAAAGUUUCGGCGGUUGGGGAUGGACUCGCGGCUUAUCAGCUUGUUGGUGGGGUAGUGGCUUACCAAGGCUUUGACGGGUAGCCGGCCUGAGAGGGUGGACGGCCACAUUGGGACUGAGAUACGGCCCAG
rnacentral:rRNA from 1 species